CUGCAUGUUGUACAGUCAAGGUAGCUUUUCUGUUAUUUCUCCCCUGGUUGUUUUUCUCGCGCUUUGGUCGCAACUCAAGAUGGAGUAUCCAGCACUGGUCUUUGGCAUGUCUGCUAGUUUGACAGUGAUCACAGUAGACCUUUUGUGUCUGACCUUCCUUACUUUGCUUCCCGUUUUUCCACCAGUCAGUUUUGUUGACAGGCUUUUAUCUGUCAUCCUUCUUGUAAGUUCUUUUAUUUUUGGCCUCAAUGGCGAUGGCCUUCACAUUAGCUUCUUCAAUAGUAUCUACGGUGAACAAUUUUAGUUCCUUCCAAAUGUAGUCGGCAAGACCUCAUGUAUACUUCAUGAAAACAUCGUAGUCAUCGACGUCUAGCUUGGUUAUGGAACUCUAUUGUAUACACUUGUACAGGUUACCCAAAUCUUUGUCUGAAGUGUUACCACUUAUAACAUCUUUCAUCUUCAUAGCCAAAUGGAUAAAAUUGUUUUCUAAAAAGCAUCUUGAAGUUCUUCCAAGUCAAUUAUGAGACAUCAUACCGUCUCUGAUAGGACUUCCACCAUGUAAAGGCAUGACUUGAAAGUUUCAAACUCGCAAAUUUUAUUUUUUGCACAUUAGAAUACUUAUAAACUGUGAAAUAAGUUUCUAAUAUGCCUAUCCAGUUAUCUAGCUUUUCUGGAUCAACAUCUCCUUUAUAUAAGGGAUAUCAACCUUAAAAUCAAUUUUUAAGAUAUCAAUAGAAUUUUUGUUGUCACCUGAUUCAGCGUCCUUUUUCGUUAGAUCAGCUUGUGUGUCGUCUUCAUCUUUGCUAUCCUCAACAACCUUUUUUUUGAGCUUUUGAUCAAGCUCAUAAGAAGUUGAUGGAUGCGAAGGUUUUCCAGCCUUCAAACUCUCCACGAGUUUAAGGAUUGACACAAACAAGUUUUCAACUUGUUGGUCAAGCUUAGUGAUGCGAUCACCAUCACUAGAUGUAUCCUGUUUGUUUUCUCCAGUCAUAAUGUCUCUCUUGGACCUUGGCUUUCGGUGUACGAGCAAAUGACCUAAAA
rnacentral:lncRNA from 1 species